rnacentral:rRNA from 1 species
CGAAGCUGCGGCAGCGACACUCAGGUGUUGUUGGGUAGGGGAGCGUUCUGUAAGCCUGUGAAGGUGUGUCGUGAGGCAUGCUGGAGGUAUCAGAAGUGCGAAUGCUGACAUAAGUAACGAUAAAGCGGGUGAAAAGCCCGCUCGCCGGAAGACCAAGGGUUCCUGUCCAACGUUAAUCGGGGCAGGGUGAGUCGACCCCUAAGGCGAGGCCGAAAGGCGUAGUCGAUGGGAAACGGGUUAAUAUUCCCGUACUUGGUGUUACUGCGAAGGGGGGACGGAGAAGGCUAUGUUGGCCGGGCGACGGUUGUCCCGGUUUAAGCGUGUAGGCUGGUUUUCCAGGCAAAUCCGGAAAAUCAAGGCUGAGGCGUGACGACGAGGCACUACGGUGCUGAAGCAACAAAUGCCCUGCUUCCAGGAAAAGCCUCUAAGCAUCAGGUAACAUCAAAUCGUACCCCAAACCGACACAGGUGGUCAGGUAGAGAAUACCAAGGCGCUUGAGAGAACUCGGGUGAAGGAACUAGGCAAAAUGGUGCCGUAACUUCGGGAGAAGGCACGCUGACACGUAGGUGAAGUGAUUUACUCAUGGAGCUGAAGUCAGUCGAAGAUACCAGCUGGCUGCAACUGUUUAUUAAAAACACAGCACUGUGCAAACACGAAAGUGGACGUAUACGGUGUGACGCCUGCCCGGUGCCGGAAGGUUAAUUGAUGGGGUCAGCGCAAGCGAAGCUCCUGAUCGAAGCCCCGGUAAACGGCGGCCGUAACUAUAACGGUCCUAAGGUAGCGAAAUUCCUUGUCGGGUAAGUUCCGACCUGCACGAAUGGCGUAAUGAUGGCCAGGCUGUCUCCACCCGAGACUCAGUGAAAUUGAACUCGCUGUGAAGAUGCAGUGUACCCGCGGCAAGACGGAAAGACCCCGUGAACCUUUACUAUAGCUUGACACUGAACAUUGAGCCUUGAUGUGUAG